AACGAACGCUGGCGGCAGGCCUAACACAUGCAAGUCGAGCGCCCCGCAAGGGGAGCGGCGGACGGGUGAGUAACGCGUGGGAAUAUGCCCUUUGCUACGGAAUAGUCUCGGGAAACUGGGGGUAAUACCGUAUACGCCCUUUGGGGGAAAGAUUUAUCGGCGAAGGAUUAGCCCGCGUUGGAUUAGGUAGUUGGUGUGGUAAUGGCCUACCAAGCCGACGAUCCAUAGCUGGUUUGAGAGGAUGAUCAGCCACACUGGGACUGAGACACGGCCCAGACUCCUACGGGAGGCAGCAGUGGGGAAUCUUAGACAAUGGGGGCAACCCUGAUCUAGCCAUGCCGCGUGAGUGAUGAAGGCCUUAGGGUUGUAAAGCUCUUUCAGCUGGGAAGAUAAUGACGGUACCAGCAGAAGAAGCCCCGGCUAACUCCGUG
rnacentral:rRNA from 1 species